UCGCGGCGGAGGGUGAGCGACUCAAUCCACAGACAUCGGAGCCCGUUUCUCCCGUUCAUCCACCGACGUAUACCCCACGCUACUAGUCUGCUUCCAUCUCCCCCUCGAAGACCUUCGACUACCGAAGCCUUCACCCGUACCGGACAUAUCGGGGUAGGGCGAGCAGAGGGAUCGAAUCUACUGCGAAUCAAUUGAUUCGUUCGGUUCUGAUCCCUCUCCGCCGAUCUCCAUGCUCGAAUCACCUCCACAACGGGAUCCAGACAGCCAAGAUCGUCUGGUCCCGCGUGCCCAGCUCCCAGGAGGGCGAGCCUGCCGAGGUCGAGUUCGCCAGCAGGAGCCACGGCGGCGCCGGCGCCGAGAGCCUCGACUACGAGGUGAUCGAGAAUUACGCCUACCGAAAAGAGCAGGUAGAGUUUGCCCUAGGCGCAGGGAGGAAAACUCUGUGUUUCGUAUUAUGUGGUCCUCAAAUGGUUGUUCUCUUUAGUUAUUGGCAUCGGUCUUUAUGAAGAGCAAGCCCAACUGAGGCAUUCCUCUGCUUGAAUCAAGGCCAAAGCAAUAUUUGCGUAACAGGGCAGCCAAGGAGGCAUGCAAGAAUCAGAAGGUUUCAGCUACUACUAAGAUGUAGGAAAAUAAAGAUACAAUUUCUUAUUCAGAUCUUUAUCUAACAUAUGGUUGCCUUUGUGUUGAAAGGUUGUAUAAUUCCCUCGUUUUGUUAAAGUUAGAGAUAUCAUCUCUGUGUUAUGGAGCAACAAGCACAAUGGCUUCCCAGUGAUAGAUCAUGAACAGAAUGGAGAGGCGCUUGUUAUUGGUCUCAUCCUUUGCAGUCACUUGUUGGUACUUGUAAAGUUUAAGAUGGAUUUUCAGAACAGUCCUUUUCCUUGUGAUAUGUGGGGAGUAUCCAACAGGCAGAACUUCAGUGAUUUUGUCAAAACUGUCUCAGGUAAAGGAAUGUCCACAGAGGAUAUUCAUCUAACUGAGGAUGAACUGGAACUCUACUUAGAUCUUGCCUCGUACUUAAACCCUGCCCCAUAUAUUGUGCCAGAAGAUAUGUCUUUGGCAAAGGUGUACAAUCUUUUCCGACAGUUGGGCCUGAGGCAUAUAUUUGUUGUCCCUUCCUUCUCAUCUUAUAGGUUUGGUUACUAGGAAGGAUUUGUUAAUUGAGGAAAGUGAUCAUUCAGCAACCAUGGAACUUUCAUCAACUAGUGUAAGAGCUCAGCAUCUAGAUAGAAGAACAAUUGGUGGACAUACACAUCCAGAGCACCCUCUUCUUGAUAGUCUUCUCAUCCAGGAAUAACAAUUCAGUGAUUGUGGACUUGGUGCUCUUGCUUGUAAGAUUUGUAUUGAGCAUUUAAAGCGAGUCAUCAUAUUGAUAACAUCUCCAUCUCAAAUAUUUUUAAUCUUAAAAAAGAGAGGUGGUUUACGUUGUUCAGCCACGUACUGUAAUCUAAGAGCAGUAUUCGGUAUGCCCUGUCGUAAUUCUACGUCAGGAUGUCACCCUACGUACGUUCUCCUCCUUUGAACAUGACGACCCAUCACAUCAUUUGUCUAACUAGGA